AGCAGCAAGUCACUUCAGAGUGCACUGGGGCAAAUCACAUCAUGUCAUUAUGUCAUGGAUCAUAAUGAAGCACAGAGGCUAAUUGAACCAACAGGCCUCAACGCUAAUCUCCAUGCCAGACUAGAGGCUUGAGAAGUUUUCUGAUGGGGAUAAAGGAGAGGAGAUUGAAAGCUGAAGUUAAUGAUUAAAGCCAAAUGAACCCCACAGUUGUCUCCCUUUAUCCAUGAGGGACAUCUUCCAAGGCCCCCAGUGGAUGUCUGAAACCGCAGCAUACUUUUGUCCAUAAAGCAAAAUCCGAAGAUUAGUGUUAAGAAACAGGAUUUGGAACUCUCAGAACAAGGCCAUUGGGGGUGGAGAUUUCUUACCUAUGGCUUAAAGAGGCUUCCGAGGUGAUCGGGCAGCAUCAGUCUUCAGCUGCUAA
rnacentral:lncRNA from 1 species